CCUGGGUGAUCCUGCUGGUAGAUGUAUGUUUGUCUUAAAGAUUAAGUCAUGCUUGUAUAAGUAUGAAUAAAUUUAGACUGUGAAACUUUGAAUGGCUUAUUAAAUUAGUUAUAGUUUCUUUGAUGGUAUCUACUACUAGGAUAAUCAUAGUAAUUCUACGGCUAAUAUAUGUAAAAAAAAACCUGUCUUCUUGAAGGGAUGCAUUUAAUAGAUAAAAGGUCGAUGUGGGCACUGCUCGUUGUUGCGAUGAAUCAUGAUAACUUUAAUGAUUGCAUGACUAUUGUGUCGGCGAUGCAUUAUUCAAAUUUGUUCCCUAUCAACUUUCGAUGAAAGGAUAGUGGCCUACAUGGUGGUGAUGGGUGACAAAGAAUUAGAGUUCAAUUUCGAAUAGGGAGCUUGAGAAAUGGCUACCACAUACAAGGAAGGUAGAAAGCACAUAAAUCACCCAAUCAUGCAGGGAGGUAGUGACAAUAAAUAACAAUACUAGGUUCAAUAAGUCUAGUAAUUAGAAUAAGUACAAUAUAAAUCCCUUAAUGAGGAUCAAUUGGAGGGCAAGUAUGGUACCAGAAGUCGUGGUAGUUGUAGAUCCAACAGCAUAUAUUUAAGUUUUUGUAGUUAAAAAGCUAAUAGUUGUACUUUGGGAUGGGCUAGCCGGUAUGCCUAUUGUGUGCACCGAUUAUCUCGUCCCUUCUGUUGGCGAUGUGCUCCUGGCCUUAACUAGCUAGGUCAUGCCUCCGGCGCUGUUAUUCUAAAGAAAUGAGAGUGAUCAAAGAAAUCAUAUGCUCUAUAUACAUUAGCAUAAGAUAACAUUAUAGUAUUUUGAUUCUAUUACAUUGGCCUUUGGGAUCGGAGUAAUGAUUAACAGAGACAGUCGGGGGAAUUCGUAUUUUAUAGUUAGAGGUGAAAUUCUUAGAUUUAUGAAAGACGAACAACUGCGAAAGCAUUUACAAAGGAUGUUUUCAUUAAUCAAGAAUGAAAGUUGGGGUCUCGAAGAUGGUCAGAUUCCGUCCUCGUCUCAACCAUAAACAAAGUCAACCAGGGAUCGGCAGAUGUUACUUUUAGGACUUCGUUGGUACCUUAUGAGAAGUUAAAAUUUUUAAGGUCCUGGGGGAGUACGGUUGCAAGGCUGAAACUUAAAGGAAUUGGUGCAAGGGAACCACCAGAAGUGCAGUCUGCGGCUUAAUUUGACUCAACACGGGGAAACUUACCAGGUGCAGACAUAGUAAGGAUUGACAGACUAAGAGCUCUUUCAUGAUUGUGGAGCAAUUUGUCUGGUUAAUUCUAUUAAUGAAUGAGACCUCAGCCUACUAACUAGCUAUACAGAGAUAUCCCUUCACCACUUGCUUCUUAGACAGACUACGACCUUUUAGGCCGCGGAAGUUUGAGGCAAUAACAUGUCUGUGAUGCCCAUAGAUGUUCUGGGCCAUACGCGUGCUACACUGAUGUAUUCAAUGAGUUAAUAUCCUUAGCCGAUAGGCUUGGGUAAUCUUUUAAAUUUUUUCAUGAUGGGGAUAUAUCAUUGCAAUUGUUGGUCUUUCACGAGGAAUUCCUAGUAAGCGUGAGUCAUUAUCUCGCGUUGACUACGUCCCUAUUUUUUGUACACACCGCCCAUCGCUCCUACCAAUUAAAUUAUCUUAUGAAAUAUUUGGAUCAUGGAGAUAUGGGGGUUUGCUACCUAUGAUGUCCAGCGAAGUCCAUUGAACCUUAUUAUUUAGAGAAAGGAGAAAUCAUAAAAAGGUUUACGUAGGUGAACCUGUGGAAG
rnacentral:rRNA from 1 species